rnacentral:rRNA from 1 species
AAUGAACGCUGGCGGCAGGCCUAACACAUGCAAGUCGAACGGGUCCUUCGGGACUAGUGGCGGACGGGUGAGUAACGCGUGGGAACAUACCCAAAGGUACGGAAUAGCCUCGGGAAACUGAGAGUAAUACCGUAUGUGCCCUUCGGGGGAAAGAUUUAUCGCCUUUGGAUUGGCCCGCGUUGGAUUAGGUAGUUGGUGGGGUAAUGGCCUACCAAGCCGACGAUCCAUAGCUGGUUUGAGAGGAUGAUCAGCCACACUGGGACUGAGACACGGCCCAGACUCCUACGGGAGGCAGCAGUGGGGAAUCUUAGACAAUGGGGGAAACCCUGAUCUAGCCAUGCCGCGUGAUCGAUGAAGGCCUUAGGGUUGUAAAGAUCUUUCAGAUGGGAAGAUAAUGACGGUACCAUCAGAAGAAGCCCCGGCUAACUCCGUGCCAGCAGCCGCGGUAAAGUACAGUGU